rnacentral:rRNA from 1 species
GACGAACGCUGGCGGCGUGCCUAAUACAUGCAAGUCGAACGCAGUGGGGACGGGUGAGUAACACGUGGGUAAGCUCCCAUCAGAGGGGAUAACCCUUGGAAACAGGUACUAAACCGAUACUGAUGGAUGGACGCGCGGUGCAUGAGCUAGUUGGUGAGGUAACGGCUCAGCAAGGCCACGAUGCCUAAACGCACUGAGAGGGUGAUCGGCCACAAUGGAACUGAGACACGGCCCAGACUCCGACGGUAGGCAGCAGUAGGGAAUCUUCGGCAAUGGACGAAAGUCUGACAGAGCAACGCCGCGUGAGUGAAGAAGGUGUUCGGAUCGUAAAACUCUGUUGUUAGAGAAGCGGUAUCUAACCAGAAAGCCACGGCUAACUACGUGCCAGCAGCCGCGGUAAUUC